CGAGAAAAAAAUAAUAUUAUUUUUAGAAAUUUAGAACGCCGAUGCUAACGUAUUGGAAUAUUGGCAAAGGAGUGGACUAAGUUUUGUAGAGCUGGGCGAUAUCCGUUUUAUUUGAGCGUUUGAUUCGACGUUUGUAGUUGGUUUUCAUUCACUUAUUUAUUUAUUUAUUUACUUUUCUUUUUUUUCAAUGGUCCUUAUUGUCUCACUCUAUGUAACCAAAUUUAUUGACUAAAUGAAUGAAGCAGGUAGCGUGCUAUCUUUCUCUCUCAAAAAAAAAAAAUUUUCUUAGAAUCCUUCUAAAAUUAUUAUUAUUACUAUAAAAUUCCA
rnacentral:lncRNA from 1 species